AACGAACGCUGGCGGCAUGCCUAACACAUGCAAGUCGAACGGGAUCCUAGCUUGCUAGGUGAGAGUGGCGGACGGGUGAGUAACACGUGGGAAUCUGCCUUUUGGUUCGGGAUAACCGCGGGAAACUGCGGCUAAUACCGAAUGCCCUCGAGAGAGGAAAGAUUUAUCGCCAGAAGAGGAGCCCGCGUACCGAUUAGGGUAGUUGGUGGGGUAAAAGGCCUACCAAGCCGACGAUCGGUAGCUGGUCUGAGAGGAUGAUCAGCCACACUGGGACUGAGAUACGGCCCAGACUCCUACGGGAGGCAGCAGUGGGGAAUAUUGGACAAUGGGGGCAACCCUGGAUCCAGCAAUGCCGCGUGAGU
rnacentral:rRNA from 1 species